rnacentral:rRNA from 1 species
AUUGAACGCUGGCGGCAUGCUUUACACAUGCAAGUCGGACGAGUGGCGAACGGGUGAGUAACAUAUCGGAACGUACCGCGUAAUGGGGGAUAACUAAUCGAAAGAUUAGCUAAUACCGCAUAUUAUUCGAGCGGCCGAUAUCUGAUUAGCUGGUUGGUGGGGUAAAGGCCUACCAAGGAGACGAUCAGUAGCGGGUCUGAGAGGAUGAUCCGCCACACGGGGACGGGGACACGGCCCAGACUCCAACGGUAGGCAGCAGUGGGGAAUUUUGGCCAAUGGGCGCAAGCCUGAUCCAGACAUGCCGCGUGUCUGAAGAAGGCCUUCGGGUUGUAAAGGACGUUUGUCAGGGAAGCGGUACCUGACGAAUAAGCACCGGCUAACUACGUGCCAGCCGCCGCGGUAAUAC